CCCUAGCCCCGAUAGUAGCGGCAUCCUUUUUCUUUUUUGCUAAAAAAGAUUAAUUUAGCCUAAAUCGGCUAAUAAA
rnacentral:misc_RNA from 1 species